rnacentral:rRNA from 1 species
CGGUUGAUCCCGCCGGACCCGACUGCUAUCGAAGUGGGACUAAGCCAUGCUAGUCGAACGUCCUUCAACCAUGUGAGGGGCGUGGCGUACGGCUCAGUAACACGUUGUCAACCUACCCUGAAGACGUGGAUAACCCCGGGAAACUGGGACUAAACCACGAUAGAUCAAGACCCCUGGAACGGAUCUUGAUCAAGAGGAAGGAUGAGCAUGUUUCAUCUAUUCGCCUCAGGAUGGGACUGCGUCCGAUCAGGUUGUUGGUGGAGUAAUAGCCCACCAAGCCUAUAACCGGUACGGGCUUUGAGAGAAGGAGCCCGGAGAUGGACACUGAGACAAGGGUCCAGGUCCUACGGGGCGCAGCAGGCGCGAAACCUUCGCAAUGCACGUGAGUGCGACGAGGCUACUUCGAGUGCCGUCCGCUGAGGAUGGCUUUUGUCAGUUCUAAAACGACUGGAGAAUAAGGGGAGGGCAAGUCUGGUGUCAGCCGCCGCGGUAAUACCAGCUCCCCGAGUGGUCGGGACGAUUAUUGGGCCUAAAGCAUCCGUAGCCUGCUCCGUUGGUCUUCUGUCAAAUUCAACAGCUUAACUGUUGAGCUGCAGGAGAUACCGCGGAGCUAGGGGGCGGGAGAGGUAGACGGUACUCCAUGGGUAGGGGUAAAAUCCUUUGAUCCAUGGAAGACCACCAGUGGCGAAGGCGGUCUACCAGAACGCGCUCGACGGUGAGGGAUGAAAGCUGGGGGAGCGAACCGGAUUAGAUACCCGGGUAGUCCCAGCUGUAAACGAUGCGAGCUAGGUGAUGGAGUAGUUUCGAACUACUCCAGUGCCGCAGGGAAGCCGUUAAGCUCGCCGCCUGGGGAGUACGGUCGCAAGAUUGAAACUUAAAGGAAUUGGCGGGGGAGCAC